UUUCAAUGUAGUUCAGUGAAAGUCUGACCUGAAAAUUGUCUUUGGACACACUAUAUACUGAAAAA
rnacentral:snoRNA from 1 species